CGGGUGAGUAACAUGUGGAUAAUCUACCCUCUAGUGGGGAAUACCGUUGGGAAACCGACGACAAUACCGCAUAAGCUCGAGAGAGGAAAGCAGCAAUGCGCUGGAGGAGGAGUCCGCGGCUGAUUAGCUAGUUGGUGAGGUAAUGGCUCACCAAGGCUUAGAUCAGUAGCCGGCCUGAGAGGGCACACGGCCACACUGGCACUGAAACACGGGCCAG
rnacentral:rRNA from 1 species